AGGGCCGCGGUAAUUUGACCGUGCGAAGGUAGCAUAAUCAUUAGUCUUUUAAUUGGAGACUUGUAUGAAUGGUUGAAUGAGAGACAAUCUGUCUUUUUUUCAAAAGUGGAAUUUAACUUUUAAGUGAGAAGGCUUAAAUUUUUUGAGGGGACGAUAAGACCCUAUAAAACUUUAUAUAGUCUUCUUUAUGUUGUGGAGUGUGUUUAAAUUGGUUUAAGGUUGUUUAUAUUUCGUUGGGGAAACGUUGAUAUAAUAUUUAAUUGUUUUUUUAUUUUAAUAGUUGUAAUUAGAUUUUGAUCCUUUAUUAUAGAUUAUAAGAUUAAGUUACUUUAGGGAUAACAGCGUAAUUUUCUUUGAGAGUUCUUAUCGACAAGAGUAGUUGCGACCUCGAUGUUGAAUUAAAAUUUCAGGUUGGUGUAGCCGCUGAUCUAGUGGGUCUGUUCGACCUUUAAAAUUUU
rnacentral:rRNA from 1 species